AAGUUCAGAUAGAGAAUAGUUGGUUACCACCAAGGUAUGCAUGCCACUGUUGCAUCCUUCAGGUUAUUGUGCCAUGCUGGGUUAUAGCCAACACAGCUGAGUGGGACUAUUUGUUGCUUCUCUCCUUUGGAAUCUUCUGUGGCUCCUUCUGAUAACAAGUUAGUCCUCAGGGUUGAGGCUUUUGGGUCAGAACAAGCCAGGAUCCAUUGGGUCUUGUGUUUGAGGUACAUGGUAUUUUCAGCAGUAAGGACUAACCUUGAACCUCUGGAAGGCAACCAAAGGCAACAGCAGUAGUUUAUGUUUUGGGAGUUUCUUGGACAACCCUGAUGAACAAAAGGGGGCUGCUACUGGGGUUUUUUAAAUCUAUGGAUUUUGUGGGAAAUUUUCAUUCCCGAUGGGAAAUUUUUAUUUAAACUAUGUAGAUACAGACUUAUAUGCAUUAUAUGUAAUUUUAGGUAUAUAAUAUAAUAUAUUAAUAAUAAUGUGAUUCCUUAAGACUUUCAAAAUGUGUUUUAAUUUUAUCCUCCUUUUUUCUUUUCUAUUUUGUUUUCAUUUUACCCCUUCCUCUUUUUUUAUUUAUCUCCCCUCUCCCUAAAUAAAACUCCUCCCUUCCCAUUUCCUCCUUUAAAUCACUCCCCCUCCCCACCCCAGAUAGGGUUUCUCUGUGUAGCUUUGGCUGCCCUCGAACUCAGUCUGUAGACCAGGUUAGCCUUGAACUUCCAGAGAUCUGCCUGCCUCUGUCUUCCGAGUGCAGGGGUUAAAGGCAGAAACCUCUGCUCCGGCUUCAAAUUGCGUCUUUAACACCUUAACCAGGGUGUUUGGAAGGGCAGUGUUAAUUUUGAUUAAGACUGGUGUUGGUUUUGUUUUUUCAUUCCGUGGGUCAUACUUUUUGUGAUGUUUGAGAUGUCUCCAUAUCUCAAAGAUUUUACCUUAGUUUCCUUAAAGGUUUAACUUAACAUUUACAUCAGUGAGUUAAUGUAAUUCUUGAAGUUUGUUUGUUUUUCCUGUGGAUAUAUCAGUCAUACAUUGAAUAGCUUUUCUGCAAAAUGAUUUGGUUAUGCUUUAUUGGUCUUUUUCUGAUGUUCCCCCAACUCCAGUCUGUUUUAGAGCUUUGUCCCUCUAUGAAUAGUAUAGGAUCUUAUUAUGGCUAUGGAAUAAGCCUUAAACUUGGCUAAAGUGGUUUCAAAAUUGUAUUGCUAUUAUAUGGUUCUCUGCUUUUCUAUAUUACUUUAAAAAUGUGACCAUCACUGUGAAAAUACUUGUUAGGUUUUGUAGAAAUUACAGUAGAUCUAUAGUGAUUACUAUUUUGGGAGCAUUGAGGGCUGUUUCUUUUUUGAUUUAUGAACACCAUAUUUAUUAUUCUCACUUAUUUAUUUAAACAUUUAUUCUGAUCAUGUUUUGUGAUUUUUAGAAAGAACCUGUAUAUGUUUUGUUAGAUUUAAAAAUUUUUUUAAAAAAGUUAACUCUUUAAAAAAAAGUAUGUGGGUAUUUAUAUGUGUAUGUAUGUUUGUCAUGUAAUGCCCUCUGAGGCCAGAGAUCCUCUUAGAGUAGAGUUGUACCUUAGUCCUCUUACACUCUUGCCUGUCAGAUUUUUUUUUAAUACUAAAGUAGUCCCUUCUUGUGUGAGCAGAUGUACAAUAAAUGGUAUUUUCAAGUGUUAAUUGUUAAUAUUUAGAAAUACAGUUAGGUUUUGCAUGUUAAUCUUUUGUGACCACUGGUUCUAUGUUAUUUGGGGUCACCUGUAAAUGUGAAUAGCUUAAUUCUUUUUCAGUCUAUGUGUUUUUAAUUCCCUUUAUUAUUGAACUGGCCACAAGUUUCAAAACUGAUAUUUGAAAUGUCUCACUCUUGAUCUUUGAAGGAGUGAGUGCAUUUGUAUGAGUGGACGUUUGCUUUAAAGACUGUUUUAACAAGUUGAGAAAGUCAGCUAUAGUUUUCUGAAUUGCUCUUGAGUGAGUAUUGGACUUUUUCAAAUGCAUUAUAUGUAUCUGUUAACAUAACCAAGUGAUUUUUCUCUCUUAAAAACUUUCUGAGCCAGGAUGUGAUGGUACAGGCACUAGGGAAGGCAGGUGGAUAUCUGUGAGUCCAAGGCCAGCCUUGUCUACAGAGCAAACCAUGGUUACACAGAAAAAAAGAAAAACAAACAAACAAACCUGUUUUUUGGGGGGGAGAAAUAAAAAAGUUCUUUGUUUUGUUUGUGAGACAAGGUCCCAUGUAGUCUUGAACAGAUUUGAAUUAAACAAAACAAAACAAAAAACAAAAAUCCAAAAAAAAUCCCUACAACUGUAACUCCAGAUCAUGGGAUUUAACACUCUUAAAGAGACAUACAUGCAGCUAAAACACCAGUGAAAUUGUCAUUAAAAAGCCGGAUGGUGGUGGCAUACGCCUUUAAUCCCAGUCCUUGGGAGGUAAAGGCCAUGGAUCUCUCCUGAGUUUGAGGCCAGCCUGGUCUACAGAGCAAGUUCAGGACAGCCAGGACUACAUAAAGGAACUCUUGUCUUGAAAAACC
rnacentral:lncRNA from 1 species